rnacentral:rRNA from 1 species
UACGUAGGGUGCGAGCGUUGUUCGGAAUUACUGGGCGUAAAGGGUCUGUAGGUGGCCAACUAAGUCAGACGUGAAAUCCCUCAGCUUAACUGGGGAACUGCGUCUGAUACUGGUUGGCUUGAGUGCAGGAGAGGAAUGCGGAAUUCCAGGUGUAGCGGUGAAAUGCGUAGAUAUCUGGAGGAACACCGGUGGCGAAGGCGGCAUUCUGGACUGCAACUGACACUGAAAGACGAAAGCCAGGGGAGCAAACGGG